rnacentral:rRNA from 1 species
UACGGAGGGUGCGAGCGUUGUCCGGAAUCAUUGGGCGUAAAGGGCGCGUAGGUGGCCCGGUCAGUCCGUGGUGAAAGCGCGGGGCUCAACCCCGCGUCGGCCAUGGAUACUGCUGGGCUUGAGCACUGUAGAGGCAGGCGGAAUUCCGGGUGUAGCGGUGGAAUGCGUAGAGAUCAGGAGGAACACCAAUGGCGAAGGCAGCUCGCUGGGACGUGACUGACGCUGAGACGCGAAAGCGUGGGGAGCAAACAGG